AUACGGAGGAUCCAAGCGUUAUCCGGAUUUAUUGGGUUUAAAGGGAGCGUAGGUUGACAUAUAAGUCAGCUGUGAAAGUUUACGGCUCAACCGUGAAAUUGCAGUUGAUACUGUAUGUCUUGAGUGUACAAGAGGUGGGCGGAAUUCGUGGUGUAGCGGUGAAAUGCUUAGAUAUCACGAAGAACUCCAAUUGCGAAGGCAGCUCACUGGGGUACAACUGACACUGAGGCUCGAAAGUGUGGGUAUCAAACAGGAUUAGAUACCCUGGUAGUCCACACAGUAAACGAUGAAUACUCGCUGUUUGCGAUAUACAGUAAGCGGCCAAGCGAAAGCAUUAAGUAUUCCACCUGGGGAGUACGCCGGCAACGGUGAAACUCAAAUGAAUUGACGGGG
rnacentral:rRNA from 1 species